ensembl:lncRNA
GCAAAAUGUUGAAUCAAAAACCAGUGAAACAUCUUUUUAAACCAGUGUUUUUCAGCCAGUGUCCCAGGGACCCAGGCAUGUCAGGCAUGUGUUAGAUGUUUCCCUGCUCCAGCACACCUGAUUCAAAUGUAUGGGUUGUUGUCAGGCUUCAACAGCGCUAGAUGAAGAAGUGAAGACGAGUGGGGCUCAGUGGUUUGUAAUCUGCACCCUCACGACUAGAUGCCACUAAAUCUCACACACUGAGGAAAGAGGACUUGAAUUGGUUGUGAUUCUUUCAUCCAGUCUACGGUGAUAGUUUUAUGAGUCCCUACAUGGUUGCCAGCAGGGCUCAACGACACAUAGAUUACUUAGUCGAGCUUUAACAGACAAGGAAAGCAACAUAUUUAAGAUGUGAUCAAGCUGUCAGGCUUCCUCAGGCUUCACUGAUCACAGGGUUUAAUUUUACUCUUGAGUUUUCAAGCUGUUGUACAGAGAGCAGGUGGCUUUAUGAAACAAUGCCACUGUCACUGUGAUGCUAUUAAUCUUUAACAUCAUUAGAGGAGAAGACAUCCACAGUGUCAUGUGAGAAACUGCACUUUACACUUUACCAGAGGAGACUGUCACACAACAUCAGACGAUGUGUUCACACACUCAAAGGAAAUCACGACUGCAUUCAGAAGGAUUUCUACAAGCUGUCACAGGUUUAAAAUGUUAAACAGGUGGUUAACGCUCACAGCUCUUCUGGCCGCCUCAGCCAAUCCAGGAAGAGCAGCUUUUACCGUCGCACCAACCUGCAGGGUCAAAGGUCAUCCAGAGUUAGAGCUGACUUUAGACUGUGGAGACGGAGAGAACGCAGGUGUGGUCCAGUACUGGCACACCCCCUUUGGAGACCUCCAGAGUCCUGGUUCCCACAGCAAACUGGACCCUGUCUUUAUGCACCAUGAUGGCAGCCUGGUUCUCCACAACACCAGCACCCUCCACAGCGGCCUGUACUACUGCCUCCUGCAGCACACAGAGGGAACAACGCUGUGGCCCUACCAGCUCCACGUCAGUCAUGACAAUAAGGAAUACAGCAAAUAUGAGCAGCACAGCAGCUGUGGUGCGUUCAGGUUCCGGAGGGAUGUCGGGUCUGAUGCAGAGAGGCAGGACGUCGUCUCAAACGGGCAGUUUGCAGGAGCUGUGGCAGCUUCAGUGCUGCUGACAUUUGUGUUUGGCUUCAGCGCUGGAGCUCUGAGCAGGACGCAUGUUCUCAGGUGUUUGGGGGCAGUCGCCACAAAGGUGCCUUCACCAUGGAAACGAUCCCAAGCUGACACACCAGACCAUGCUUCCACGGUCACCAUGACAACCCCGCCGGCCAUGUACGACAACCAGACUUUUCAGAUGGAACAGGUGGAGAUUUCACCGACAAACUCACCUCCACCUCCAAAACCUCAGAGAAGCUUCAGGGACAAACGACGGGAGGAGCAGGAAACCACCACCUAUCUGGAGGGAUGUGACUACAAACAGGAGGAGGAGAGGGGAAAGGAGGAGGUGGCAGGAGGAAGUCUGGAGGAGAGGAAUAAAGGAAGUGUUGUAGAGAAGGAGGAGGAAAGAGGACAAAAUGGAGGGAGUCAAACCGAAACAGAUGAGGAGAGCAGUGAGGAAGUGGAGAAGGAAAAUGGAGAGAGCAGGGAGGAAAUAACAGAAGAGAAAGAGGUGGAGGAGGCAGGAGAACAGGAGAAUAAAAACAAGGAGGGAGAGUGGAGCAGAGGUCAGGAGGUGGAGGAGAAAGGGAGCGAUGAGGACAGGGAAGAAGAAGAGGAGGGACAGAGAAGUGAGAAAGAGGAAGAUGGAGAGACAGGAAGUAACAAACAGGAAGACCCAGAACCAGCGACCUCCCCUCCCCGCCCGAGUCGUCGCAGCCGCGUCAUCCGCCUGUACCAGUAUGACGACGAUGGGCAACGAUAUGGCCACCUUCCAGACCCCGCCCCUGAAGAGCCAGGCCCCGCCCCCCGGCUCAAACAGCGCUCCCUCUCACUGACACGCCUCAGCGCCAUCAUGACUGCCGCAUCAGCGGGGCCGCUGGAAACAGAAGAGACAGGAGGGGAGGAGAGGACACACUUCCACAUGGAGAUAUGA